GUUGCUAAAACACACAAACUAGCAAAACCCAGUUUAACAUUUGUUAUUAUUUAAAUUAUCAUUCCAAAGGUUCCAUCAUCAUGCUGACCUCUGCUCUGGGGUCACUAACUGACAGAUAAAGGGCCAACUGUUGGUUUACCAACUGUUGGCUUACCUGAGCCAACAGUUUAUGGAACAGGGUUUACAGUAUCAUUUACUUAACUUCUGCUCGUGAGUACAGACCUGAAACAAGUUUACUUGUGAAAGACCAAAUUCUACGGUAUCGGUCAGUCGAUUUUUGCUACUGAGUGAAAACCCAAGAACUAAGUUCUAUUUGUUGUUCUGAAAAGGACUGGAAAACUUCGCUGACUUUCACCUAACCAAGUUUCCACCAACAAACUGGACAAGGUCAUGGCAGAAAGUCUGCUCUCCUCCAUGGUAGUUGUGAAGACAACACAAAAAGCCAACUUCUGGCCUCGGGAGAACAGGAAGAGGGCUUACGCUGAAAUCUUUCGACCACACAGCAAAGGUCUGGGAUGUGCCUCCCCAGAAAGAAAGAGGAGGAGGAUCAGUAGCAGAAGACCUCAGCUGAAAAGGCCUUAUAGUGAAGUGGCAAGGGACAACGAGGGACUUCCAGAGUUUUCCUCCCCUGAAAGGAAAAGGAUGAGGAUGGACACAAAAGCAGAGGAGAAAGAUAAAGUGCUAAUAUGCACUUUU